UACGGAGGAUGCGAGCGUUAUCCGGAUUUAUUGGGUUUAAAGGGUGCGUAGGCGGGAUGCCAAGUCAGCGGUGAAAAUGCGGUGCUCAACGCCGUCGAGCCGUUGAAACUGGCGUUCUUGAGUGGGCGAGAAGUAUGCGGAAUGCGUGGUGUAGCGGUGAAAUGCAUAGAUAUAUGGAGGAACACCGGUGGCGAAAGCGGCUCUCUGGCCUGUAACUGACACUGAGGCUCGAAAGCGUGAGGAGCAAACAGG
rnacentral:rRNA from 1 species